AUCCAGCUGACGAGUUCCAAAUAGGACGAUACCCGCGUCCUGGAU
rfam:Schistosoma margrebowiei strain Zambia genome assembly, scaffold: SMRZ_scaffold0000072